CGUAUCUUGAUUGGUAGUCGAGUUCCGAUAGUUCGAGAUUAGUAACGUGAUGAUGUGUGCGAGAUUAUUACCGGCGAAUUAGUUUUGUGCAUAAUUUGCAUAUUACAUCGUGGAUCACAUCGUAGGAAGAAAUACGGCUGUGCCUAAUUUAACAUUAGUAUAACACUAUGCGUCGUAUAAUCAGCUAUAUUAAAAGAAAGAGAGCAAGAAACGCUUUAUUAGAAUCUAAAGUAGAAGAAUAGAAAAAGGAAAGAGAAAUAAGGAAAGAGAAAUAUAAUUAACGUUAAAGCUCAGAAUUUACAAUGUGCCCGACAAAAUAUGUGGACUUUGAAGAUAUCAAAUAAAGUAAUUUUAUCAAAAAAGUGAUAGGAUGAAGUAAACAAUUUAUUUGUGACAGAAAGUAUUUGUAUUACAAGAUCUAACUUGUUCCGAGAAAUUUUUUGCAAAAGAUUUAUAAAAAACAAGCUAUUUGAGUGGUGUAUGCUGUUGUUGAUAGAUAAAAAGUUUACCGAGGUUCAUCCCCUUUUAAAUGCAGCAAACUAUCAUAUAAAGAAUUGACAGGGCAAUACACAUCAAAAGAAUUAUCUGAAGGUGUACUUUCUAGUUCUUCAAGUAUGUCACUAUCUUAUGACAGACCAGAUUAUUAAAACAGGUAAAAAGUGUGAAAUCUUGUUUGAAACAAUUACAACAAAUAUACAGACUAUAAUGUCACUCAACUGGCCUACCAAUGAUGUGGUCACAGGUUGUAAUAUCAGAGAUUUUAUAUGGAUGCCAAGGAUCAUGCAUUCUAUGUGAACUAGAUAUAUGGCACAGAAAUAUACCAAUAAAGCUCUUAGUCAAAUCGAAAACUAAAAAUUUUUGGUAAAUUGAGGCAUACAUGAGACAAAAGACUACAAAAUGAGGAGAGACUAGGAGUCAACUUCUCAAAUAUGGAACGACACAUCAUUCCAUAUUUUACUUUUUAUUUUCUUUGCAUCAGUUUAAUAUAUUUACUGGUAUUUUUUAGUUAAAUUUGUAGUUAAAUUGUAAUUGUAUAUUUAUAAUUAUUUUUAUUGUUCUUUUACAGUUAUUGAUAAUUAACCUAUUUUGUCAAUGUUUUAUGGAAAUUUCUCAAGCUUGUUAAGGGCCCCUGCACAGACUUUUGCAUAACACGAAAUGCAUAAUGCAUAAGAGAAUUAAUCAAUCAGUGAUCUUUAUUUCUAUCCUGGGGAGGGAAAUAGAUGACUCUGAUUGAUUAAUUCUUUUAUGCGUCAUGCACUAUGCGUUAUGCAAAAGUUUGUACAGGGGCCCUUAAGCUAUCACUUUGGUGAUAGCCUAAGUUACUUAAAGGCCAUAGAAUACCUUCACAAUUUCUGUAAAAGUCAUGCUUUUGUUUCCCAUUACAAGCCAGCACAUGAUUACAUGUUCUAAGAACAUUAAAUAAAACACGAAAAAAAUAGGUUUAUUAACAAUAACUGUAAAAGAACAAUAAACAUAAUUAUAAAAGUACAAUAAUUCUAGAUUCAAACCAAUUAAAAUCGAUUACAUUAAAACUUCUUUUAAUAGGCUUUAAUAUGUAAAAUAAUCGGAUUUAAUCGAAAUCAAUCAAGUAUUUAUAAGUAGAAUAAAUUGUAAAAUAAAAACAAUUGAAACCAAUUAAAAACGUUAAAAAAUGAUUAUAGAUAUAAUUAAUUAAAACAAUUAAAUAUGAUUAAAACUGAUUAAAGUGCCCACCCAAUUGAACACAAUUAAAAAAUUAAUCAGUUUGAAUCUGGAAUCUUGAUCCGGUAUUUCUGGAUAAGAAACAAUUUAAACGAUUGAAAAUUAAUCGUACUCGAACAAAUAGAAACCAAUUAAAAUUAUUUCAUAUAUCACUAAUCGAUUUUAAUCAUUUCAAUCGGCACGAAUCCGGGAUUUCUGGAUUCCGGAUCGAAACCGAUUCAUUUUUUUUAAUUGGUUUUAAUUAGUCGUUUUUAGCAGAGAAGGCUGUAGUAAUUACGUUAAGAACAUCUUAACAAUGUUUAUCUUUCAUUUUUCAUAAUAGUAAUGAUAAAGCUUGGAAAGUCACUUUUAAUAAGUAGUUCAUAACUGUUAUGUAACAAGUCAACUAAUAAGUUACUUUUUACAAUAAAUAAAUAACGAAUA